rnacentral:snRNA from 1 species
GUGCUUGCUUUGGCAGCACAUAUAACUAAUACUGGAACGAUACAAAGAAGAUUAGCAUAGCCCCUGUGCAAGGAAGACAUGCAAAUCCAUGAAGCAUUCCGAAAUUUA